UACGUAGGGGGCAAGCGUUGUCCGGAAUUACUGGGCGUAAAGCGCGUGUAGGCGGGUCGACAAGUCCGGCGUGAAAGGCUCGGGCUCAACCCGAGACGGCCGUUGGAAACUGGCGUUCUUGAGGGUCGAAGAGGAGAGUGGAAUUCCUGGUGUAGCGGUGAAAUGCGUAGAGAUCAGGAGGAACACCCAUGGCGAAGGCAGCUCUCUGGUCGACCUCUGACGCUGAGACGCGAAAGCGUGGGGAGCGAACGGG
rnacentral:rRNA from 1 species